GAUCCAGACCGGAACAAAUAUUUUUGGUUAUGAUAAAUUUAGUCAAACCAGAUUAUACUCAUAGUGGAACACUGCCUAAAAAAUUCCGGAUAAAUGUUCGGGAGUUUGAACCCGACGUGAAUCGAACACGCAACCUUCUGAACUGGAGUCAGACGCGCUACCAUUGCGCCACGGAUCCGGACGAUUAUCAUCUUCACAUACGUGUAUCUGCUCAUGAUUUGUUAUAAUAUAAAGUUCUUUUAAAUACUUGGUCCUUAGAUGAAAACAGCCGAAGCACCGCCGCAGCAUAGUGGUGGCUCCUCCUCCACCAGCUACUUUUACUGGUCUUAAUCCGCUAGCUGUAGUGUUCUCGUGGUGAAGAUGGGAUGAAAAAGCAAGACCCAAUCAAUCUCCCGCACAUUUAUGUAAAAAGAAUUCAGGGCCAGAACCACCAAGAAUCAAAUCGACUGUGAAGCGUAACUUGCAUGCAGCUUCUCAAGUUAGGGAAGGCAUGUACUAGUGUGAUCCACUUACUAUAUAUGUAACUAACUUGUGUGUCAUUGAAUAUGUCUCGAAGCCUUGGAAUGUUAAGUUAAAUAUGUAACAGUUUUAGAACAGAGGAUCUGGCUAAGCCAUCAAAUAGUUACUGUUCAAAUGGAAGUCUUUGUGGGGUAAAGUCAUUUGCCAAUGUUGUUAGUUCCUAAUAAGAUUUCUGAUAUUGUCAGGGAGAGAUGGUUGCAUUGAGAGAUUCCCAACCCGCGAGGUUUGGGUUGUAACAUCUGAAUUUGUCAUCAACAAGCAAGCAGCAACACAUGGAGCGUGAGCUUAUGUUUGGAGUAGCAAGGUAUUGGUUUCUGAAGUAAGACUCAUAAAGGAAUUGCGUUUUCCAUGUUUUUGUUCGUUCUUUCGGCUUUUCAUGUAAUCUUGUGAAACAUUGUUUUGUAUAUCAAAUCAAUGUAUAAGGGAUGUGGAGAGAAUGAUGCAGGAAACAAGGGUACAUUGGUUUUUUGGCGUUUGAAGCUAGCAACAAAAACUAGUUACUCUUUGUUACACACGUCAACCUCUUUCAAGGGAAAUUGCUGAAACACAAUCUUGAUUCUGAAGUCGCCGAUUCUCUUAAGUCUUAGUAAUCUAAGAGACAAAUUAUCAGAACCGAAACAAAGAGAUGACAGAGACCAAUCGGGAUUAUAACUCGGCCCAGUAGAGAUGACAGAUACAAAGAGCUAAUCUUACCUGUGAAGCUGAGGCUGGCAGAAAAAGCGAGAGCUCAAAGACUGUGCUGUUGUGUCUUGCAUCUGAGUUUGGUUGAGCUACACUGUAGAUUCGUUUUCUUUGGUCCAAACAUUGGUUAUGAAGUGCACAGAUACUAUGUGAAAUCAAAUUUCUGAAAUUUAUAUCAAACAUAACCUUUUUCA